rnacentral:rRNA from 1 species
UACCAGCACCCCGAGUGGUCGGGACGUUUAUUGGGCCUAAAGCAUCCGUAGCCGGUUCUACAAGUCUUCCGUUAAAUCCACCUGCUUAACAGAUGGGCUGCGGAAGAUACUAUAGAGCUAGGAGGCGGGAGAGGCAAGCGGUACUCGAUGGGUAGGGGUAAAAUCCGUUGAUCCAUUGAAGACCACCAGUGGCGAAGGCGGCUCACUGGCCCGUUACUGACGCUGAGGCACGAAAGCGUGGGGAGCAAACAGG